UACGAAGGGUGCAAGCGUUACUCGGAAUUACUGGGCGUAAAGGGCGCGUAGGCGGCGGGCCAAGUCGAGUGUGAAAGCCCCGGGCUCAACCUGGGAGGUGCGCUCGAGACUGGUUUGCUGGAGUUCGGGAGAGGAGCGUGGAAUUCCCAGUGUAGAGGUGAAAUUCGUAGAUAUUGGGAAGAACACCGGUGGCGAAGGCGGCGCUCUGGACCGAGACUGACGCUGAGGCGCGAAGGCGUGGGGAGCAAACAGG
rnacentral:rRNA from 1 species